rnacentral:rRNA from 2 species
UACGGAGGGGGCUAGCGUUGUUCGGAAUUACUGGGCGUAAAGCGCGCGUAGGCGGCUUGGUAAGUUAGAGGUGAAAGCCCGGGGCUCAACCCCGGAAUAGCCUUUAAGACUGCUUCGCUUGAACGUCGGAGAGGUGAGUGGAAUUCCGAGUGUAGAGGUGAAAUUCGUAGAUAUUCGGAAGAACACCAGUGGCGAAGGCGGCUCACUGGACGACUGUUGACGCUGAGGUGCGAAAGCGUGGGGAGCAAACAGG